AUUGGUAAAAAGACACUCGCAGCAGAUAACCUAAACCCAGCAAAACACAAUUCUCAAUGGAUCAGACACAGCAUUUGUAACGUCCAACAGGUGGUGUUCGCUGAGGGGUGUAUCAGCUCAGGACACCAGGAAGAACUCCCCCUGCUCUUCUUCAAAACAGUGGCCAUGGGAUCUUUUACUUCCAUUCCAGAGGACAGAUGGAAGCUCAUUCUAACAUCUGCAGAUAAGCCUACAGCUUGGUAUGUUCCACUGCUAACACUGUCACACUAAUGACAUCAAAGCGGCUUUCUAACUUCAGUGGGAUGUUUUCAGAUAGCAGGGCAUCCACCACCUUGUUGACUGCCAAUGCGAAGUUGCUUUUACACAUCUCGAGGACAUCGCUAAUGCCCCUGGAUUCCCGGGGCACAGAUUCUCUCCCACCAGCUGCGACCAGAAACAAAAUCGCUGAGACUUGUGACCACCAGCAGCCUGGUCGAUCCGCUAGCAAGGGCCCCCGGUAAUAUAAUAUUUGGCUUGCAGUCACCCAUGCCGUGGCAUUCCAACUCUGGUGGGGGUGUUUCAGGAAGUUUCAUCACAUGACUGCCCACUCAGCCGUGUCUCUAACGUGGGGCUUGAACCCACAGCCCUCUGACUUUGAGGUGAGAGUGCUACCACGGAAUGUACCGACUCCCUACGUGAAUAGGAAAUUGACACAAACUACAAGUGGAAACAGGUGCAUUCUGUGGAAAGAGCUCCCAUCGUUUAUCGUAAAACAUAUUAACAGACUUGUGUGCUUUUGUAAGACACAUUAUCUCACACUGAAAACCUGCUCAAAGUCCGGCACACCCACAUGAAGUGUCCUAUCUGGUGUCAUUUACUGACAAUCUAAUGGAAUAUCGUGAACUACACACUACAAACCCCCAACGCCAUUGGUUCAUUGUUCUACACAAAUAUUUUAACAUGAAAAACUGCACUUUUUUAAGGCACUGAGAGACAGCAGGAGCUGCCACAGGAGUUAAGCGGAUAGCAAAACUGUUGAGUGCACAGUAAAGUUAACAAUGUUCUCAAUUUUUUUUUUUACAUAUAGAUAAACUAAGUCUUGUGAAAUUCUUCACAUUCUUUGACCAUUUAAGUCACUGAAUAUUUUCUGAGUUAUUUUCUGUUCCCCUGAAUACUUGGAGCUCUUUAUAGAGUUGAUUCAGCAACAACAACUUGUAUUUAUAAAGCGCCUUCAACAUAAUCAAAAUAUUCCAAGGCAUUUCACACUCAUAAUUAUCAAAAUUUGACAUGAGCAAGAUAAAGCAAUAUUAGGACAGGUGACCAGAAACUUGGUCAAAGAGGUAGGUUUUAAGAACAGUCUUAAAAGGAGAGAGAGAGAGAGAUAGAGGUGGAAAGGUUUAGGGAAAGGAUUCCAGAGCUUAGGACCUAGGCAGCUGAAGGCAUGGCUGCCAAUGCAGCAAUUAAAAUCAGGACUACUCACGAGGCCAAGAUUGGAGGAGCAUAGAGAUCUCGGAAGGUUGUACGGCUGGAGGAGAUUGGUUGGAAGAGCGUGAGGCCAUGGAUGGAUUUGAAGACAAGAAUGAUGUUUGUAAAUUUGAAGCAUUGGUGAACCAAGGCACGUCAAAUGCCACAGCGGUGAUUCAAAAUAUAAACACAACCAUGGCGCUCCUUAGUUGUGAUUUGUCAACAAUAAACAGAAUAGGUUUAGGCUGUUUGGAACAAGCCCAACUCCAGCUGGCCUUCACUUAGUUGAAUGUCAUCAAGCUACACAGCAGCGGAAUUCUGGUGAACUCACUAUUUCGAUUCACGGCAAUGGCUGCUCUACACUUGUAUCCCUUCUAUACUUGAGGCAUUCAAGAGGGCAUUGGAGAAUUAUUUAAAUAGAAACAAUGUACAGGGUUACAGGGAAAAGGCAGUAGAUUGGCACUAUGUUAAAAUGCUCAGACAGCUGGUCCAGAUACGAUGGGGGGAAUGGCCUCCUUCUACACCAUAACAAUUCUGAUUCUGUGAUCCCUACAACUCAAGUAGUUUCAACACGACUUGUUUCCCUCUCUCCUUCAACUACGGCACCUUCAUCCUCUGGAACCUUCCGCCAAGUCACCUCCUUCCCUGCCUUGAAAAACCUCCUUGGCACACUUCCCUUCAACCCUGGUUUUGCCCUUAAUGUUACUAUCUUCUUCCCUCUCAAGUGUCGAUUCUUUGUCCAGCAAUUAAUAAAACAGUGAGAUGUCACAUGGAGUUGAGGUACAGAUCAGCCAGGCCCAAAGGCCUACUCCUGUUCGAUACUCCUCAGAGGCCUCACUAUCGGUGCACGACCAAAAUCCUGGCUUUGGGUGUAGGUGACUAGCAUGCAGUUUGGUGAAGAAGCUAAAGAGGUUAAAAAAAAAGAUAAAUCCCCAGAUGCAAACAUGUCGUGACUUGCUUGGUUUUCUAGCCUUUUACUUGAUUCACAUAAUCAAAUAUAAACUAAGAAGAAAAACAAAGACCUGCAUCUUUCAGGACCUUAGGACAUCCCAAGGUGUUUUACAAGGAGUUAGGGUUACAAGGUACUCACUGAGGGAACAAAUUUAUUCUCCUUAUCCCAGUUCUUCUGCUAAUUGCCUUCAAUCUGUGUCUUCUGAUUACCAACCCUCCUGUCAGUGGAAACAAUUUUUCCUUCUUUAUUCAAAACCUUAAUAAAAUACUUUGGAAGUGUCGUCCCUGCUGUCACAGGAAAUGUGGCAGCCAAUUUAUGCUAAGCAAGAUCCCACAAGACAGCAUAAUCAGUUAAUAUUCUAAUCUAUUAGUAUGUGAUGUUGAUUGAGAUAAACAUUGGCCAGGACAUCAGAGGGUACUCCCCUGUCCUUCUUCAAAAUACUGGCCAUGGAAUCUUUCACUUUGACCUGAGCGGGCAGGCAGAGCUUUGGUAUAAUGUUUGCUUCACACCUCAGACAGUGCAGCGCUCUCUCAGUGCUCAAAGCCAGCCUCACUGAGUGGGACGUACUGUUGAUAUACCUGAUGCCCAGACUCUGAAAGCAACUGCGCUACUCGGGACUCUAGAACGGCCGAAGACUCCCAAAGAGGACAGCAGAAAUGCUGUAGGAAUGUCCUAAAAUCAUCCCUAAAAGUGUUCAAACAUCCACGUUGACUCAUGGGAGCCCCUGGCUU